rnacentral:rRNA from 1 species
AAAAAAGUAUUGACGAAAAAUAUUAUUUGUGGUAAUAUAUACCUUGUCCGCGAGAGAGCGGAACUGAUGAAUAAGGACAUUAGCAACAGAAUAGAGAAAGACAAUUAAUGCAAACACAACAAUAAAUUGGUGUAAAACAAUCAGUAAAUUUUACUGAGUUAUAUAGAUUGAACGAAGAGUUUGAUCCUGGCUCAGGAUGAACGCUGACAGAAUGCUUAACACAUGCAAGUCUACUUGAUCCUUCGGGUGAUGGUGGCGGACGGGUGAGUAACGCGUAAAGAACUUGCCCUGCAGUCUGGGACAACAUUUGGAAACGAAUGCUAAUACCGGAUAUUAUGUGAGUUUCGCAUGAAAUUCAUAUGAAAGCUAUAUGCGCUGCAGGAGAGCUUUGCGUCCUAUUAGCUAGUUGGUGAGGUAACGGCUCACCAAGGCGAUGAUAGGUAGCCGGCCUGAGAGGGUGAACGGCCACAAGGGGACUGAGACACGGCCCUUACUCCUACGGGAGGCAGCAGUGGGGAAUAUUGGACAAUGGACCAAAAGUCUGAUCCAGCAAUUCUGUGUGCACGAUGAAGUUUUUCGGAAUGUAAAGUGCUUUCAGUUGGGACGAAGUAAGUGACGGUACCAACAGAAGAAGCGACGGCUAAAUACGUGCCAGCAGCCGCGGUAAUACGUAUGUCGCAAGCGUUAUCCGGAUUUAUUGGGCGUAAAGCGCGUCUAGGCGGUUUGGUAAGUCUGAUGUGAAAAUGCGGGGCUCAACUCCGUAUUGCGUUGGAAACUGUCAAACUAGAGUACUGGAGAGGUGGGCGGAACUACAAGUGUAGAGGUGAAAUUCGUAGAUAUUUGUAGGAAUGCCGAUGGGGAAGCCAGCCCACUGGACAGAUACUGACGCUAAAGCGCGAAAGCGUGGGUAGCAAACAGGAUUAGAUACCCUGGUAGUCCACGCCGUAAACGAUGAUUACUAGGUGUUGGGGGUCGAACCUCAGCGCCCAAGCUAACGCGAUAAGUAAUCCGCCUGGGGAGUACGUACGCAAGUAUGAAACUCAAAGGAAUUGACGGGGACCCGCACAAGCGGUGGAGCAUGUGGUUUAAUUCGACGCAACGCGAGGAACCUUACCAGCGUUUGACAUCCUAAGAAAUUAGCAGAGAUGCUUUUGUGCCCCUUCGGGGGAACUUAGUGACAGGUGGUGCAUGGCUGUCGUCAGCUCGUGUCGUGAGAUGUUGGGUUAAGUCCCGCAACGAGCGCAACCCCUUUCGUAUGUUGCCAUCAUUAAGUUGGGCACUCAUGCGAUACUGCCUGCGAUGAGCAGGAGGAAGGUGGGGAUGACGUCAAGUCAUCAUGCCCCUUAUACGCUGGGCUACACACGUGCUACAAUGGGUAGUACAGAGAGUCGCAAACCUGCGAGGGGGAGCUAAUCUCAGAAAACUAUUCUCAGUUCGGAUUGUACUCUGCAACUCGAGUACAUGAAGUUGGAAUCGCUAGUAAUCGCAAAUCAGCUAUGUUGCGGUGAAUACGUUCUCGGGUCUUGUACACACCGCCCGUCACACCACGAGAGUUGGUUGCACCUGAAGUAGCAGGCCUAACCGCAAGGAGGGAUGCUCCGAGGGUGUGAUUAGCGAUUGGGGUGAAGUCGUAACAAGGUAUCCGUACGGGAACGUGCGGAUGGAUCACCU